rnacentral:rRNA from 1 species
UCAAGCGAACAAGGGCGCAGGGCGAAUGCCUUGGCACUGGGAGCCGAUGAAAGACGUGAUAAGCUGCGAUAAGCUUCGGGGAGCUGCAAAUAAGCAUUGAUCCGGAGAUUUCUGAAUGAGGAAACUCACCUGGGUUCAUACUCAGGUACGUUAUACUGAACUUCAAAAUAGGUAUAUCGAGGGAACCGCCUGAACUGAAACAUCUAAGUAGGGCGAGGAAGAGACAUCAAACGAGAUUCCGUAAGUAGUGGCGAGCGAACGCGGAAGAGGGCAAACCGAGAGUAGAAAUACUUUCGGGGUACGGACUGCUUUUAAGACUCAAUCUGUUAACCGAACGGCAUGGGAAGGCCGGUCAGAGAGUGUGAGAACCACGUAGGUGAAAACGGAGAGAGCUGCGCAGGAUCCAGAGUACGGCCAGACACGUGAAACCUGGUCGGAAUACGGGGGGACCACCCUCCAACCCUAAAUACUACCCAGUGACCGAUAGCGUAUAGUACUGUGAAGGAAAGGUGAAAAGCACCCCGGGAGGGGAGUGAAAAAGAACCUGAAACCCUGUGCCUACAAGCACCUAGAGCACGUCAAUGUGUGAUAGGGUACUUUUUGUAGAACGGUCCGGCGAGCGAUUGUAUGCAGCAAGGUUAAGGACUUAAGGUCUGGAGCCGAAGCGAAAGCGAGUUUGAAAAGGGCGUUAAGUUGCAUACAAUGGGCCCGAAACCGGGUGACCUACCCAUGGUCAGGUUGAAGUGGAAGUAAAAUUCCAUGGAGGACCGAACCGACCUCCGUUGAAAAGGCGGCGGAUGAACUGUGGGUAGCGGAGAAAUUCCAAUCGAACCCGGAGAUAGCUGGUUCUCCCCGAAAUAGUUUUAGGACUAGCCUCAAGUUAGAUACCUGGAGGUAAAGCACUGAAUAGCCUAGCGGCCGAGAGGUUAGCGAAGCUUAUCAAACUCAGAAUGCCAGAGUAUUGAUGCUUGGGAGUCAGACAGUGUCAGAUAAAUGUCAUUGUCAAAAGGGAAACAGCCCAGAUCUACAGCUAAGGUCCCAAAGUCAGGUUAAGUGGAAAACGAUGUGAAGAUACGUAGACAACCAGGAUGUUGGCUCAGAAGCAGCCACUCAUUCAAAGAGUGCGUAAUAGCUCACUGGUCGAGCGUCUUUGCGCGGAGAAUUUAACGGGGCUAAACCUGACACCGAAGCUUAGGCAAUACAGCAAUGUAUUGGGUAGGGGAGCGUUGUAUACGCGGUGAAACAGUAGCGCAAGCGGCUGUGGAGUGUAUAGAAGUGAGAAUGCCGGAAUGAGUAGCGCGAAUGCAGUGAGAAUCUGCAUGGCCGAAAGCCUCAGGUUUCUGGAGGAAGGUUCGUCCGCUCCAGGUUAGUCGGGAGCUAAGGUGAGGCCUAACGGCGUAGCCGAUGCACAGACGGUAGAGAUUCCGUCACCACCAAAAGAGUUAAACACAGGGACACAUAUGAAGUCUCGGAGCCGGGUGUUGGUUCCGGUAGCGAUCGAGGGAAGUUAGUACCGAAGUCUGAGAUGGAAGAUGGCGAGAAAAGCUGUGUGUAUUUCUGCGGUGCCCGUACCGCAAACCGACACAGGUAGGUAGGAAGAAGAUUCUAAGGCCAACGGGAGAAGGGUUGUUAAGGAACUCGGCAAAUUGACCCCGUAACUUCGGGAGAAGGGGUGCUCCAGAGAUGGAGCCGCAGAGAAUCGGCCCAAGCAACUGUUUACCAAAAACACAGGUUUGUGCUAAAUCGAAAGAUGACGUAUACGAGCUGACGCCUGCCCGGUGCUGGAAGGUUAAGAGGAGAUGUGCAAGCAUUGAAUCGAAGCCCCAGUGAACGGCGGCCGUAACUAUAACGGUCCUAAGGUAGCGAAAUUCCUUGUCAGGUAAGUUCUGACCCGCAUGAAAGGCGUAAUGAUUUGGGCACUGUCUCAACAGCCCGCCCGGCGAAAUUGUAGUACCGGUGAAGAUGCCGGUUACCCGCGACAAGACGGAAAGACCCCAUGGAGCUUUACUGUAGCCUAAUAUUGGGUUUCGAUGUUGCAUGCACAGGAUAGAUGGGACACAGGGAAACAAGUGCUUUGGCAUUUGUGGAGUGGCCGUUGGGAUACCAUCCUUGCGAUAUUGGAAUUCUAACCUGCGCCUUUGAAUCAAGGCGGGGGACAUUGUUAGGUGGGCAGUUUGACUGGGGCGGUCGCCUCCUAAAGAGUAACGGAGGCGUUCAAAGGUUCGCUCAGCUUGAACGGAAAUCAAGCAAAAGAGUGCAAACGCAGAAGCGAGCCUAACUGCGAGACUGACGGGUCGAGCAGUAACGAAAGUUGGAGUUAGUGAUCCGGUGGUAUGUGAGUGGAAAUGCCAUCGCUCAACGGAUAAAAGUUACCCUGGGGAUAACAGGCUGAUCUCCCCCAAGAGUCCACAUCGACGGGGAGGUUUGGCACCUCGAUGUCGGCUCAUCGCAUCCUGGGGCUGUAUUCGGUCCCAAGGGUUUGGCUGUUCGCCAAUUAAAGCGGUACGCGAGCUGGGUUCAGAACGUCGUGAGACAGUUCGGUCCCUAUCUGUCGUGGGCGCAGGAUAUUUGAUGGGAGCUGUUCCUAGUACGAGAGGACCGGAGCGGACGUACCUCUGGCGCACCAGUUGUUCUGCCAAGGGCAUAGCUGGGCAACUAUGUACGGAUCGGAUAAACGCUGAAAGCAUCUAAGCGUGAAGCCGACCCAAAGAUAAGAUAUCCCAUUGUUUCAAACAAGUAAGACCCCUUGAAGACUACAAGGUUGAUAGGCACGAUGUGUAAGUGGAG